rnacentral:lncRNA from 1 species
AUGUGUCCCCACACAUCCCAUGACCCCACACAUCCCCACGUGUCCCCACACGUCCCCACACACCCCAUCACCCCAUGUGUCCCCAUGCGUGUGUCCCGUGUCUGUCCCCAUGUCUGUCCCCACGCAUCCCGUGUCCCCAUGUGUCCCCAUGUGCGUGUCCCCACACAUCACCCCAUGUCCCCCCACAUCCCCAUGUGUCCCCUUGUGUCUGUCCCCACGUGUCCCCUCCCAGCCCCACAUGUCCCCACGUGCCCCCAUGUCUGUGUCUGUGUCCCCACACAUCCCAUGUGUCCCCACGUGUCCCCACACAUCCCAUGGCCCCAGAUGUCCCGAUGUGUGUCCCAUGUGUCCGUCCCCAUGUCCGUCCCCAUGUCUGGCCCCACACAUCCCAUGUCCCCAUGUCCCCACGUGUGUCCCCACAGAUCCCACGUCCCCACCUGUCCCCUCCCAGCCCCACAUGUCCCCACGUGUCCCCAUGUCUGUGUCCCCAUGUCUGUCCCCACACAUCCCCCCACAUCCCCACGUGUCCCCACAUCCCAUGGCCCCAGAUGUCCCCAUGUGUGUCCCAUGUGUCCGGCCCCAUGUCCGUCCCCAUGUCUGGCCCCACACAUCCCAUGUCCCCAUGUCCCCACGUGUGUCCCCACAGAUCCCAUGUCCGUCCCCACACAUCCCACGUCCCCACGUCUGUCCCCUCACAGCCCCACGUCCCCAUGCCUGUGUCCCCAUGUCUGUCCCCGCACGGUCACGUGUCCCC